CUUGAAACUGCAAGGAGAAGAGGUCAGACCUGGCCUGGGUUUCCCCAGUCAAAGCACAUUCCGUUUCCCAGACUCCCUUUAGGGAGGAAAGAAAAAAGGAGAAGCCUCAAACUGGAAAACUGCUUAGUUGCCAGUUUUUACCCAACUCUCCAACAUCCGCAAUGUUCUCUCCUUUCCUACAACCCAGCAGCCAAAGCUGCCGAGGACAUGAAAUCUCAGCAAAGCUGGAAAGUUCGAGCCUUUGAGAAAACAACUCAGGUGGACAUUUUGCCUCACACUCAUGGACAAAGGAUCAUGCACCUGUUAAGAACUGUUAUUAAUAUGGGUUUCCCUCCAUUCUCUGUCAUUCCAAAUCAAAACUCCUUGUUAAAUUGCAGCCAUGAUGACGAUAAAUUUGGAAAUAAAUAUGAGUAAAGCCAAGUGUCACUGAGA
rnacentral:lncRNA from 1 species